UCCGUGUUGACCACGGCAGUAUCCCAUGAGUUCCCACCAUUACGUGCUGGCAACAUAGGACGAGGGUUGCGCUCGUUGCCGGACUUAACCGAACAUCUCACGACACGAGCUGACGACAACCAUGCACCACCUGUAUAGAAGUGUCCAAAGAGUGAAUCAUUUCUGACCCGUUCUUCCAUAUGUCAAGCCUUGGUAAGGUUCUUCGCGUUGCAUCGAAUUAAUCCGCAUGCUCCGCCGCUUGUGCGGGCCCCCGUCAAUUCCUUUGAGUUUUAGCCUUGCGGCCGUACUCCCCAGGCGGGGAACUUAAUGCGUUAGCUACGACACAGAACCCGUGGAACAGGCCCUACAUCUAGUUCCCAACGUUUACGGCAUGGACUAC
rnacentral:misc_RNA from 1 species